ACGCUCGACACCUACGGGAGGCAGCAGUGGGGAAUAUUGCUACAAUGGGGGAAACCCUGAUGCAGCGACGCCGCGUGGAGGAAGAAGGUCUUCGGAUUGUAAACUACCUGUUGUUGGGGAAAAAGAGGAUGGUACCCAACAAGGAAGUGACGGCUAACUACGUGUCAGCAGCCGCGGUAAUCUGAGCGGGCUGGCAAGGC
rnacentral:rRNA from 1 species